UACAGAGGGCUCGAGCGUUAAUCGGAAUCACUGGGCUUAAAGGGUGCGCAGGCGGACUCGCAAGUAUCUUGUGAAAUCCCACCGCUCAACGGUGGAAUCGCUCGGUAGACUGUGAGUCUUGAGCCCGUCAGGGGUCGUCGGAACGCUAGGUGGAGCGGUGAAAUGCGUAGAUAUCUAGCGGAACGCCAAAGGUGAAGACAGACGACUGGGACGGCGCUGACGCUCAGGCACGAAAGCGUGGGUAGCGAACGGG
rnacentral:misc_RNA from 1 species